UGGGUGACCUGCCCUCAGCUCUGGGAUAAGCCUGGGAAACUGGGUCUAAUACCGGAUAUGACCUUCUGCUGCAUGGCAGGGGGUGGAAAGUUUUUCGGCUGGGGAUGGGCCCGCGGCCUAUCAGCUUGUUGGUGGGGUGAUGGCCUACCAAGGCGACGACGGGUAGCCGGCCUGAGAGGGUGACCGGCCACACUGGGACUGAGACACGGCCCAGACUCCUACGGGAG
rnacentral:rRNA from 1 species